rnacentral:rRNA from 1 species
GAUGAACGCUGGCGGCGUGCCUAAUACAUGCAAGUCGAACGCUUCACUUCGGUGAAGAGUGGCGAACGGGUGAGUAAUACAUAAGUAACCUGGCAUCUACAGGGGGAUAACUGAUGGAAACGUCAGCUAAGACCGCAUAGGUGUAGAGAUCGCAUGAACUCUAUAUGAAAAGUGCUACGGGACUGGUAGAUGAUGGACUUAUGGCGCAUUAGCUUGUUGGUAGGGUAACGGCCUACCAAGGCGACGAUGCGUAGCCGACCUGAGAGGGUGACCGGCCACACUGGGACUGAGACACGGCCCAGACUCCUACGGGAGGCAGCAGUAGGGAAUUUUCGGCAAUGGGGGAAACCCUGACCGAGCAACGCCGCGUGAAGGAAGAAGUAAUUCGUUAUGUAAACUUCUGUCAUAGAGGAAGAACGGUGGAUAUAGGGAAUGAUAUCCAAGUGACGGUACUCUAUAAGA